rnacentral:rRNA from 1 species
UACGAAGGGGGCUAGCGUUGCUCGGAAUCACUGGGCGUAAAGCGCACGUAGGCGGAUUGUUAAGUCAGGGGUGAAAUCCUGGAGCUCAACUCCAGAACUGCCUUUGAUACUGGACGAUCUUGAGUCCGGGAGAGGUGAGUGGAACUGCGAGUGUAGAGGUGAAAUUCGUAGAUAUUCGCAAGAACACCAGUGGCGAAGGCGGACUCACUGGCCCGGUACU